rnacentral:rRNA from 1 species
CAAUAGCGUAUAUUAAAGUUGUUGCAGUUAAAAGCUCGUAGUUGGAUUUCUGGUGGGAGCGAUCGGUCUGGCGCUUAGCGCGAGUACUUGCAUCGUCUCCGGCCAUCCUUGGGGAGAGUUUGUCUGGCAUUAAGUUGUCGGGCAGAGGAUCCUCAUCGUUUACUGUGAAAAAUUAGAGUGUUCAAAGCAGGCUUAUGCCGUUGAAUAUAUUAGCAUGGAAUAAUAAGAUAGGACUUUGGUACUAUUUUGUUGGUUUGCGCACCAAAGUAAUGAUUAAUAGGGACAGUUGGGGGUGAUUCGUAUUAACGCGUCAGAGGUGGAAUUCUUAGAUUGCGUUACGACGAACUACUGCGAAAGCAUUUGCCAAGGAUGUUUUCAUUGAUCAAGAACGAAAGUAUGGGGAUCGAAGACGAUCAGAU